UAUUGGGCAAUGGAGGAAACUCUGACCCAGCGACGCCGCGUGCGGGAUGAAGGCCUUCGGGUUGUGAACCGCUUUCAGCAGGGAAGAAGCGAAAGUGACGGUACCUGCAGAAGAAGCACCGGCUAACUAUGUGCCAGCAGCCGCGGUAAUACAUAGGGUGCAAGCGUUGUCCGGAAUUAUUGGGCGUAAAGAGCUCGUAGGUGGUUCGUCACGUCGGAUGUGAAAAUCUGGGGCUUAACCCCAGACCUGCAUUCGAUACGGGCGAGCUAGAGUGUGGUAGGGGAGACUGGAAUUCCUGGUGUAGCGGUGGAAUGCGCAGAUAUCAGGAGGAACACCAAUGGCGAAGGCAGGUCUCUGGGCCAUUACUGACACUGAGAGCGGG
rnacentral:rRNA from 1 species